GGUUAAGCGACUAAGCGUACACGGUGGAUGCCCUGGCAGUCAGAGGCGAUGAAGGACGUGCUAAUCUGCGAUAAGCGUCGGUAAGGUGAUAUGAACCGUUAUAACCGGCGAUUUCCGAAUGGGGAAACCCAGUGUGUUUCGACACACUAUCAUUAACUGAAUCCAUAGGUUAAUGAGGCGAACCGGGGGAACUGAAACAUCUAAGUACCCCGAGGAAAAGAAAUCAACCGAGAUUCCCCCAGUAGCGGCGAGCGAACGGGGAGCAGCCCAGAGCCUGAAUCAGUGUGUGUGUUAGUGGAAGCGUCUGGAAAGGCGCGCGAUACAGGGUGACAGCCCCGUACACAAAAAUGCACAUGCUGUGAGCUCGAUGAGUAGGGCGGGACACGUGGUAUCCUGUCUGAAUAUGGGGGGACCAUCCUCCAAGGCUAAAUACUCCUGACUGACCGAUAGUGAACCAGUACCGUGAGGGAAAGGCGAAAAGAACCCCGGCGAGGGGAGUGAAAAAGAACCUGAAACCGUGUACGUACAAGCAGUGGGAGCACGCUUAGGCGUGUGACUGCGUACCUUUUGUAUAAUGGGUCAGCGACUUAUAUUCUGUAGCAAGGUUAACCGAAUAGGGGAGCCGAAGGGAAACCGAGUCUUAACUGGGCGUUAAGUUGCAGGGUAUAGACCCGAAACCCGGUGAUCUAGCCAUGGGCAGGUUGAAGGUUGGGUAACACUAACUGGAGGACCGAACCGACUAAUGUUGAAAAAUUAGCGGAUGACUUGUGGCUGGGGGUGAAAGGCCAAUCAAACCGGGAGAUAGCUGGUUCUCCCCGAAAGCUAUUUAGGUAGCGCCUCGUGAAUUCAUCUCCGGGGGUAGAGCACUGUUUCGGCAAGGGGGUCAUCCCGACUUACCAACCCGAUGCAAACUGCGAAUACCGGAGAAUGUUAUCACGGGAGACACACGGCGGGUGCUAACGUCCGUCGUGAAGAGGGAAACAACCCAGACCGCCAGCUAAGGUCCCAAAGUCAUGGUUAAGUGGGAAACGAUGUGGGAAGGCCCAGACAGCCAGGAUGUUGGCUUAGAAGCAGCCAUCAUUUAAAGAAAGCGUAAUAGCUCACUGGUCGAGUCGGCCUGCGCGGAAGAUGUAACGGGGCUAAACCAUGCACCGAAGCUGCGGCAGCGACGCUUAUGCGUUGUUGGGUAGGGGAGCGUUCUGUAAGCCUGCGAAGGUGUGCUGUGAGGCAUGCUGGAGGUAUCAGAAGUGCGAAUGCUGACAUAAGUAACGAUAAAGCGGGUGAAAAGCCCGCUCGCCGGAAGACCAAGGGUUCCUGUCCAACGUUAAUCGGGGCAGGGUGAGUCGACCCCUAAGGCGAGGCCGAAAGGCGUAGUCGAUGGGAAACAGGUUAAUAUUCCUGUACUUGGUGUUACUGCGAAGGGGGGACGGAGAAGGCUAUGUUGGCCGGGCGACGGUUGUCCCGGUUUAAGCGUGUAGGCUGGUUUUCCAGGCAAAUCCGGAAAAUCAAGGCUGAGGCGUGAUGACGAGGCACUACGGUGCUGAAGCAACAAAUGCCCUGCUUCCAGGAAAAGCCUCUAAGCAUCAGGUAACAUCAAAUCGUACCCCAAACCGACACAGGUGGUCAGGUAGAGAAUACCAAGGCGCUUGAGAGAACUCGGGUGAAGGAACUAGGCAAAAUGGUGCCGUAACUUCGGGAGAAGGCACGCUGAUACGUAGGUGAAGUCCCUCGCGGAUGGAGCUGAAAUCAGUCGAAGAUACCAGCUGGCUGCAACUGUUUAUUAAAAACACAGCACUGUGCAAACACGAAAGUGGACGUAUACGGUGUGACGCCUGCCCGGUGCCGGAAGGUUAAUUGAUGGGGUCAGCGCAAGCGAAGCUCUUGAUCGAAGCCCCGGUAAACGGCGGCCGUAACUAUAACGGUCCUAAGGUAGCGAAAUUCCUUGUCGGGUAAGUUCCGACCUGCACGAAUGGCGUAAUGAUGGCCAGGCUGUCUCCACCCGAGACUCAGUGAAAUUGAACUCGCUGUGAAGAUGCAGUGUACCCGCGGCAAGACGGAAAGACCCCGUGAACCUUUACUAUAGCUUGACACUGAACAUUGAGCCUUGAUGUGUAGGAUAGGUGGGAGGCUUUGAAGUGUGGACGCCAGUCUGCAUGGAGCCGACCUUGAAAUACCACCCUUUAAUGUUUGAUGUUCUAACGUUGACCCGUAAUCCGGGUUGCGGACAGUGUCUGGUGGGUAGUUUGACUGGGGCGGUCUCCUCCUAAAGAGUAACGGAGGAGCACGAAGGUUGGCUAAUCCUGGUCGGACAUCAGGAGGUUA
rnacentral:rRNA from 1 species